GUUUCAGUAUAAGUAUGUCCCAUGCAAUAUUUGGGAAAUAUUUAUACUCAAA
rfam:Myotis lucifugus cont2.8730, whole genome shotgun sequence.